UCUUACGGCCAUACCACCUUAGGCACGCCCGAUCUCGUCUGAUCUCGGAAGCUGAGCAGGGUCGGGCCUGGUUAAUACUUGGAUGGGUGACCGCCUGGGAAUACCAGGUGCUGUAAGCA
ensembl:rRNA 5S_rRNA 5S ribosomal RNA